rnacentral:rRNA from 1 species
GACGAACCGUGCGAACGUUAUUCGGAAUCACUGGGCUUAAAGCGCGUGUAGGCGGGCCGGCACGGCGGUCGCUGAAAUCCCCCGGCUCAACCGGGGAAGGGGCGCCGAUACGGCCGGCCUGGAGGGACGUAGGGGGGGCUGGAACUUCCGGUGGAGCGGUGAAAUGCGUUGAGAUCGGAAGGAACGCCCGUGGCGAAAGCGAGCCCCUGGACGUCUACUGACGCUGAGACGCGAAAGCCAGGGGAGCGAACGGG